GAUGAACGCUGGCGGCGUGCCUAAUACAUGCAAGUCGAGCGAACAGACGAGGAGCUUGCUCCUCUGACGUUAGCGGCGGACGGGUGAGUAACACGUGGAUAACCUACCUAUAAGACUGGGAUAACUUCGGGAGACCGGAGCUAAUACCGGAUAACAUGUUGAACCGCAUGGUUCAACAGUGAAAGACGGUCUUGCUGUCACUUAUAGAUGGAUCCGCGCCGCAUUAGCUAGUUGGUAAGGUAACGGCUUACCAAGGCAACGAUGCGUAGCCGACCUGAGAGGGUGAUCGGCCACACUGGAACUGAGACACGGUCCAGACUCCUACGGGAGGCAGCAGUAGGGAAUCUUCCGCAAUGGGCGAAAGCCUGACGGAGCAACGCCGCGUGAGUGAAGAAGGUCUUCGGAUCGUAAAACUCUGUUAUUAGGGAAGAACAAAUGUGUAAGUAACUAUGCACGUCUUGACGGUACCUAAUCAGAAAGCCACGGCUAGCUACGUG
rnacentral:rRNA from 1 species